UACGUAGGGUGCGAGCGUUUGUCCGGAAUCACUGGGCGUAAAGCGCACGUAGGCGGAUCUUUAAGUCAGGGGUGAAAUCCUGGAGCUCAACUCCAGAACUGCCUUUGAUACUGGGGAUCUCGAGUCCGGAAGAGGUGAGUGGAACUCCGAGUGUAGAGGUGAAAUUCGUAGAUAUUCGGAAGAACACCAGUGGCGAAGGCGGACUCACUGGUCCGGUACUGACGCUGAGGUGCGAAAGCGUGGGG
rnacentral:rRNA from 1 species